rnacentral:lncRNA from 1 species
GCGUUUUGUCCCGGCCGCACCCGAAAGAGGCGCCUCUUCUGUGGGUCGGUGGCCCUGGGAGGGAGAGGACCUAGCUGUUUCCCCUCGCUGGACUGCACUGAGCCCGCAACGGUUGGGGAGGGAGGGCAGUGCGGGCAGCGACUGGGGGCUGACAUCACUGCUCAGUCCCGACCGGCUCCCUCUGCCUCCGGCCGGCUUGAUCUCCAUCAGAAAAGAAUCGGAAGCCCAGCGGGCUUUUGCUUUUGUUCUCCCUGCUACUCUCGAUUCCUUUGAGAAACCCGGAUGGUUGGUUACCCAAAGAGGGGGUUGUGGUGAGAGUUCCAGGUGCUACCCUGAAGGGACAAUCACUGGAAGAGGCUCUUUCUAGCCCCAAGAUUUCGCCCAUCAAUACCCCGGAGCGGAGGUAGGUACUGCUUCCCAAAAGAGCGCGAUUCCUGCCGCGGCCG